rnacentral:lncRNA from 1 species
AUAUAUAACAUAAUGAAUAGUCGACAGUGAGCAUUAUUGAAAAGAGAGUUCUAUAACUUCUGGUAAACACAGAGGAUCUAACAUAAGCAUUUAUUUCUGAUCCCUUCUCAAAUACUACUAAGAUGACAGUAAAAAAAAAAAAAAAUCUUUUUUUUUUUUUUUAAGGAUAAAUUAAGUACAAUUUUUUUUUAUUUUUAUUUUUAUUUUUUUUGAGAAGGAGUCUUACUCUGUCACCCAAGCCGGAGUGCAGUGGCACAGUCUCGGCUCACUGCAACUUCCACCUCCCGGGUUCAAGCAGUUCUCUGCUUCAGCCUCCCGAGUAGCUAGGAUUACAGGCACCUGCUUGUAAUAUUAACUCACACACUCAGAAGUUUCAAGCUUUUCCAAUUAAAAUAAUUUUAUAGAUUAGUAGUUUUAAGCUCUGUUUAAUUUACAUCUAAUCUCACCUAUGAGGAAGCAGGCCCUCACCAAACACGAAAUCAGCCGUUGCCUUGCUCUUGGACUUCACAAUCUCCAGAACUGUGAGACAUAAAUUUCUGUCAUUUAUAAGCCAUCCAGCCUAUUGUAUUUCAUUAUGGCAGCCUGAGCAGACUAGGACAACAUCUGUCAAUGAGUUACUACUUAUGUUGAAAAAGACAUUUAAUGUAAACAUUUAUUCUUAUUGCUGCAAGUAUUCAAGCUUAUUUGAUAUACAUUGCCUAUAAAUGAAAAUAAAUUAAUUUAUAACAGAUACUGUAUCUUGGG